rnacentral:lncRNA from 1 species
AAAAACAUUGGUAGUAUCAAGGUCUAACACAGAAUGAACAUAGGCAAGAAAAGGACAUGCAUUGACCAUUCCAUAGCUAAAUAUAACAGAGCUCCUCUUUGCGACUUCUAUUAAGAGAAACCACAAGUCCUACGGUCGAUUAAACAAGAAAAUGUUAAACAAUGCAUGAUCUGCCAGGGGGGAAGUGCUGGCAAAAAACCAAACCCAGACCAGAACUAAUAAGGAGCAAGUUCUCUACAUCCGACAAGACCAGGUCUUCGGCAGGGGGGAACAAACCAGCAAAAUAAGGCAGACUCCAAGCCUUUUUUUGGUUCUGCUAGAUAUCAUUACAGGCCAAAAAAGAAGGAAAACUUGCAUGAAGCAGGAGGAACUCCUUGAGCAACCCUUUUUGGUUGGAGAAGGGCCUGGAGUCCAAAGGCACAGCUACAAAAGAACAUAGCACCCUUCUUCGAAGGAGACACCAUCACGGAGACUCGGAUACAGCGCUGCUUCUGCCUGCCAAACACCAGCAUUCCAUCAAUCACCAAGGAACAUCGCAUGAUAUUUUUAAAAUGCAUCACCAAUCACCAAGGAACAUGUACCUGUUUCAACUGGCUCCUGUAAAUAGAUUUUUUUUUCCUUAUGCCUAUUUUUUUUACUUGUUAUAACGGUGUGCUUGCUAGAAAAAUAGAUGUGACUAGCUUGUUGUUUCUUUUUUAAGUGAUAUGUGUUACAUUGGAUGCAUUUUAAUACUGACCAUAUCUUUUGCAUGUUCAUAUUAUUGCAAGAACUGUUACAAUUAUUAGUUGAAUCUCCAGGGCGAGGAUCUUUUGCAGUCCUCAUUGAUUGUAAACUCAAGUGCUACAUGUUGAGUAAAAGAAUAGAGGAUAUACUCGGAAGAUCAAUUN